rnacentral:lncRNA from 1 species
AAUGAUUGAAUAUAUUAUAUAUAUGUAGAAUGUAGAAUUGAUACCUUUCCAUCAGGAAGCUGUGCCCUAUAAACACUCCCCAACAUUCCUCCACCAAUAAGAUUAUCCUGAGAAAAACUGUUUGUGUAUUGCUGAAGAGAUGCAAUUGUGUAAGAUCUCACAUAUGUUUGAGGCACAACAGGUUUGGUGGAAGUUCUUGCUGAUGUGGCGACAGCAGCCACCGCUAUAGGCUCGACAAUAACCUUCUCGAAAGGUAGAUGAAUUGGUUCUGAUGAUGAAACUGGCGGUGGUGGAGGUGGUGGUGGUGGAGGCGGUGGAGGUGGUGGAGGUCGCAUGGAGUCUAUAUCAAAUCUGGUGAAAUCUAUCUCCUGACUGUCUUGCUUUGGUAACGCGGUGAAUCUUUGCAUGGGGACUGUUCUACGUGGUGGUGGUGGUGGUGGUGAAAGCAGUUGUUGUUGCUCCUCCUUUGGUGGUGGAACUGCCGCCUUCUUUGGGGGUGCUGAAAGAACAAGUAAGAAUAAUAUUAUUAAAGGUUAAAUUUCAAGAAUUAGUAAC